UGUAAAUGGAAGCUCAAGGAAUCCAGUGAGUUGUCUCUGGAAAAGAGCAGAGCAGCAGAUGCAUGUGUGUAAGAGGUAGUAACAUCCGAUGUUAUAUUCCUCCGUGUAGGGCGUUCACUGGUCACUCAAACUGCAGAGUCCACAAUUGCAGGCAGUGCUAUUCAGAUGGACUAACAAUCAAAUGAAGACCCAGGAGUUGUGUGAUGCGAUGGCCUCAUAUAAAGGGAACCGAUGCCUUGAGGAAUCAGAUGUUUCAUGCUGAUUUAAAUUUUUGGCACCUGUAGGCUUCGAUUACAUGAAAUCUGAAAGACUGCUUUCUAAAUAAUGACAACAAAUUUCCUGACAAUGCGAACAACAGACGUCACCAAGUUUCAGGUCUACAGAAAUUGCACAGAGAGUGCAGAGAGUAUAUACUAUAAAUAAGGCACCAGAUGUGAUUACUCAGGGAGAGCGAAGAGACAUGUAGAGCUUAAUUUCUGUCCAUGAGGUAAGUGGACGUGAGAGAUACACACAUAAACAGAUAAAAUGGAUGCCUUGUACUGUUGAAAAAUGGAUGACCAGUAUUACAGUGUUUCCUAGAAUCAAGAAAUGCUGUAUGUGAGGGAAAACUGGGAGGGACUUCCCAGAUGAGGUGGCUCUUGGACUGGCCUUUGAAAA
rnacentral:antisense_RNA from 1 species